ACGCUAGCUACAGGCUUAACACAUGCAAGUCGAGGGGCAGCAUGGUCUUAGCUUGCUAAGGCCGAUGGCGACCGGCGCACGGGUGAGUAACACGUAUCCAACCUGCCGUCUACUCUUGGACAGCCUUCUGAAAGGAAGAUUAAUACAAGAUGGCAUCAUGAGUCCGCAUGUUCACAUGAUUAAAGGUAUUCCGGUAGACGAUGGGGAUGCGUUCCAUUAGAUAGUAGGCGGGGUAACGGCCCACCUAGUCUUCGAUGGAUAGGGGUUCUGAGAGGAAGGUCCCCCACAUUGGAACUGAGACACGGUCCAAACUCCUACGGGAGGCAGCAGUGAGGAAUAUUGGUCAAUGGGCGAGAGCCUGAACCAGCCAAGUAGCGUGAAGGAUGACUGCCCUAUGGGUUGUAAACUUCUUUUAUAAAGGAAUAAAGUCGGGUAUGGAUACCCGUUUGCAUGUACUUUAUGAAUAAGGAUCGGCUAACUCCGUGCCAGCAGCCGCGGUAAUACGGAGGAUCCGAGCGUUAUCCGGAUUUAUUGGGUUUAAAGGGAGCGUAGAUGGAUGUUUAAGUCAGUUGUGAAAGUUUGCGGCUCAACCGUAAAAUUGCAGUUGAUACUGGAUAUCUUGAGUGCAGUUGAGGCAGGCGGAAUUCGUGGUGUAGCGGUGAAAUGCUUAGAUAUCACGAAGAACUCCGAUUGCGAAGGCAGCCUGCUAAGCUGCAACUGACAUUGAGGCUCGAAAGUGUGGGUAUCAAACAGGAUUAGAUACCCUGGUAGUCCACACGGUAAACGAUGAAUACUCGCUGUUUGCGAUAUACUGCAAGCGGCCGAGCGAAAGCGUUAAGUAUUCCACCUGGGGAGUACGCCGGCAACGGUGAAACUCAAAGGAAUUGACGGGGCCCGCACAAGCGGAGGAACAUGUGGUUUAAUUCGAUGAUACGCGAGGAACCUUACCCGGGCUUAAAUUGCAGAUGAAUUACGGUGAAAGCCGUAAGCCGCAAGGCAUCUGUGAAGGUGCUGCAUGGUUGUCGUCAGCUCGUGCCGUGAGGUGUCGGCUUAAGUGCCAUAACGAGCGCAACCCUUGUUGUCAGUUACUAACAGGUUCCGCUGAGGACUCUGACAAGACUGCCAUCGUAAGAUGUGAGGAAGGUGGGGAUGACGUCAAAUCAGCACGGCCCUUACGUCCGGGGCUACACACGUGUUACAAUGGGGGGUACAGAGGGCCGCUACCACGCGAGUGGAUGCCAAUCCCCAAAACCUCUCUCAGUUCGGACUGGAGUCUGCAACCCGACUCCAUGAAGCUGGAUUCGCUAGUAAUCGCGCAUCAGCCACGGCGCGGUGAAUACGUUCCCGGGCCUUGUACACACCGCCCGUCAAGCCAUGGGAGCCGGGGGUACCUGAAGUGCGUAACCGCGAGGAGCGCCCUAGGGUAAAACUGGUGACUGGG
rnacentral:rRNA from 1 species